rnacentral:rRNA from 1 species
GACGAACGCUGGCGGCGUGCUUAACACAUGCAAGUCGAACGGAAAGGCCCUGCUUUUGUGGGGUGCUCGAGUGGCGAACGGGUGAGUAACACGUGAGUAACCUGCCCUUGACUUUGGGAUAACUUCAGGAAACUGGGGCUAAUACCGGAUAGGAGCUCCUGCUGCAUGGUGGGGGUUGGAAAGUUUCGGCGGUUGGGGCUGGACUCGCGGCUUAUCCGCUUGUUGGUGGGGUAGUGGCUUACCAAGGCUUUGACGGGUAGCCGGCCUGAGAGGGUGACCGGCCACAUUGGGACUGAGAUACGGCCCAGAAUCCUACGGGAGGCAGCAGUGGGGAAUAUUGCACAAUGGGCGGAAGCCUGAUGCAGCAACGCCGCGUGCGGGAUGACGGCCUUCGGGUUGUAAACCGCUUUCGCCUGUGACGAAGCGUGAGUGACGGUAAUGGGUAAAGAAGCACCGGCUAACUACGUG